rnacentral:rRNA from 1 species
ACUGAUAUGACGUGCUUGCACUGAAUUGACGUUGGAUUACCAGUGAGCGGCGGACGGGUGAGUAACACGUGGGCAACCUGCCCUGAAGCGGGGGAUAACAUCUGGAAACAGGUGCUAAUACCGCAUAACAACGAAAACCACAUGGUUUUCGUUUCAAAGAUGGUUUCGGCUAUCACUUCAGGAUGGGCCCGCGGUGCAUUAGCUAGUUGGUAAGGUAACGGCUUACCAAGGCAAUGAUGCAUAGCCGAGUUGAGAGACUGAUCGGCCACAAUGGAACUGAGACACGGUCCAUACUCCUACGGGAGGCAGCAGUAGGGAAUCUUCCACAAUGGGCGCAAGCCUGAUGGAGCAACACCGCGUGAGUGAAGAAGGGUUUCGGCUCGUAAAGCUCUGUUGUUGGAGAAGAACGUGCGUGAGAGUAACUGUUCACGCAGUGACGGUAUCCAACCAGAAAGUCACGGCUAACUACGUGCCAGCAGCCGCGGUAAUACGUAGGUGGCAAGCGUUAUCCGGAUUUAUUGGGCGUAAAGCGAGCGCAGGCGGUUGCUUAGGUCUGAUGUGAAAGCCUUCGGCUUAACCGAAGAAGGGCAUCGGAAACCGGGCGACUUGAGUGCAGAAGAGGACAGUGGAACUCAUGGGUUGAAGGCGGGGG